GACGAACGCUGGCGGCGUGCUUAACACAUGCAAGUCGAACGGUAAGGCCUUCGGGUACACGAGUGGCGAACGGGUGAGUAACACGUGGGUGAUCUGCCCUGCACUUUGGGAUAAGCCUGGGAAACUGGGUCUAAUACCGGAUAGGACCAUGGCCUGCAUGGGUUGUGGUGGAAAGCUUUUGCGGUGUGGGAUGGGCCCGCGGCCUAUCAGCUUGUUGGUGGGGUGAUGGCCUACCAAGGCGACGACGGGUAGCCGGCCUGAGAGGGUGUCCGGCCACACUGGGACUGAGAUACGGCCCAGACUCCUACGGGAGGCAGCAGUGGGGAAUAUUGCACAAUGGGCGCAAGCCUGAUGCAGCGACGCCGCGUGGGGGAUGACGGCCUUCGGGUUGUAAACCUCUUUCAAUAGGGACGAAGCGUGAGUGACGGUACCUAUAGAAGAAGCACCGGCCAACUACGUGCCAGCAGCCGCCGUAA
rnacentral:rRNA from 1 species